UACGUAGGGGGCUAGCGUUGUCCGGAAUCAUUGGGCGUAAAGAGCGUGUAGGCGGCCCGGUAAGUCCGCUGUGAAAGUCGGGGGCUCAACCCUCGAAUGCCGGUGGAUACUGUCGGGCUAGAGUGCGGAAGAGGCGAGUGGAAUUCCUGGUGUAGUGGUGAAAUGCGUAGAUAUUAGGAAGAACACCCGUGGCGAAGGCGGCUCUCUGGGACGGUACUGACGCUGAGACGCGAAAGCGUGGGGAGCGAACAGG
rnacentral:rRNA from 1 species